rnacentral:rRNA from 1 species
GACGGAGGAUGCAAGCGUUAUCCGGAAUGAUUGGGCGUAAAGCGUCCGCAGGUGGCAGUUCAAGUCUGCUGUCAAAGACCGGGGCUUAACUUCGGAAAGGCAGUGGAAACUGAACAGCUAGAGUAUGGUAGGGGCAGAGGGAAUUCCUGGUGUAGCGGUGAAAUGCGUAGAUAUCAAGAGGAACACCUGCGGCGAAGGCGGGUUGCUGGGCCGACACUGACGCUGAAGCGCGAAAGCUAGGGGAGCGAACGGG